rnacentral:rRNA from 1 species
GAUCAUGGCUCAGGACGAACGCUGGCGGCGUGCUUAACACAUGCAAGUCGAACGAGAAUCUAUGGAAAGAGGAUUCGUCCAAUUGAAAUAGAGGACAGUGGCGGACGGGUGAGUAACGCGUGAGGAACCUGCCUUUCAGAGGGGGACGAACAGUUGGAACGACUGCUAAUACCGCAUAACGCGUAGAGGUCGCAUGGCCUUUACGCCAAAGAUUUAUUCGCUGAAAGAAUGGCCUCGCGU